GACGAACGCUGGCGGCGUGCCUAAUACAUGCAAGUCGAGCGCAGGAAACUGACGGAACUCUUCGGAGGGAAGGCAGUGGAAUGAGCGGCGGACGGGUGAGUAACACGUAAGGAACCUGCCUCAAGGAUUGGGAUAACUCCGAGAAAUCGGAGCUAAUACCGGAUAGUUCAACGGACCGCAUGGUCCGCUGAUGAAGGGCGCUCCGGCGUCACCUUGAGAUGGCCUUGCGGUGCAUUAGCUAGUUGGUGGGGUAACGGCCCACCAAGGCGACGAUGCAUAGCCGACCGGAGAGGGUGAUCGGCCACACUGGGACUGAGACACGGCCCAGACUCCUACGGGAGGCAGCAGUAGGGAAUCUUCCACAAUGGACGAAAGUCUGAUGGAGCAACGCCGCGUGAGUGGUGAAGGUUUUCGGAUCGUAAAACUCUGUUGUAAGGGAAGAACACGUACGAGAGGGAAUGCUCGUACCUUGACGGUACCUUACGAGAAAGCCACGGCUAACUACGUGCCAGCCGCCGCCGUAAGAC
rnacentral:rRNA from 1 species